rnacentral:rRNA from 1 species
GAUGAACGCUGGCGGCGUGCCUAAUACAUGCAAGUCGAGCGAACGGACGAGAAGCUUGCUUCUCUGAUGUUAGCGGCGGACGGGUGAGUAACACGUGGAUAACCUACCUAUAAGACUGGGAUAACUUCGGGAAACCGGAGCUAAUACCGGAUAAUAUUUUGAACCGCAUGGUUCAAAAGUGAAAGACGGUCUUGCUGUCACUUAUAGAUGGAUCCGCGCUGCAUUAGCUAGUUGGUAAGGUAACGGCUUACCAAGGCAACGAUGCAUAGCCGACCUGAGAGGGUAAUCGGCCACACGCGAACUGAGACACGGUCCAGACUCCUACGGGAGGCAGCAGUAGGGAAUCUUCCGCAAUGGGCGAAAGCCUGACGGAGCAACGCCGCGUGAGUGAUGAAGGUCUUCGGAUCGUAAAACUCUGUUAUUAGGGAAGAACAUAUGUGUAAGUAACUGUGCACAUCUUGACGGUACCUAAUCAGAAAGCCACGGCUAACUACGUG